rnacentral:rRNA from 1 species
GAUGAACGCUAGCUACAGGCUUAACACAUGCAAGUCGAGGGGAAACGACAUCGAAAGCUUGCUUUUGAUGGGCGUCGACCGGCGCACGGGUGAGUAACGCGUAUCCAACCUGCCCACCACGUGGGGAUAACCUUGCGAAAGUAAGACUAAUAACCAAUGAGAUCUCUAGAAGACAUCUGAAAGAGAUUAAAGAUUUAUCGGUGAUGGAUGGUGAUGCGUCUGAUUAGCUUGUUGGAGGGGUAACGGACCACCAAGGCUACGAUCAGUAGGGGUUCUGAGAGGACGGUCCACCACAUUGGAACUGAGACACGGUCCAAACUCCUACGGGAGGCAGCAGUGAGGAAUAUUGGUCAAUGGACGAGAGUCUGAACCAGCCAAGUAGCGUGCAGGAUGACGGCCCUAUGGGUUGUAAACUGCUUUUAUAAGGGAAUAAAGUGAGUCUCGUGAGACUUUUUGCAUGUACCUUAUGAAUAAGGACCGGCUAAUUCCGUGCCAGCCGCCGCAGUAA